GAAGGACGCACUUCUGGUGUGGCAGUUGUUCCGUCAGGAGCAGCGCUGCGUAGCCAUGUGCGGAAGAGAUAAGCGCUGAAAGCAUCUAAGUGCCAAGCUCCUCCCAAGAUAUGGUUUCCCGGUCGCAAGACCCUAAAGACCCCCGGUAGACUACCGGGUUGAUAGGUUAGGCGUGUAAGCGCCGUGAGGCGUUCAGCGGACUAAUACUAAUCGGUCGUGAGGCUUGAUCUU
rnacentral:rRNA from 1 species